CUUUGAUUGAGUAUGUCUUCACAAAUCUCUGACCCAGACUGGAUCCCUCUCAAGGUGAGGACACAGAGCUGCACUGAAUGCAGCUCGAGCUGGAGGCUGUGGAUUUGCAGAUUUGCGACCUGGAGGUGAGGCAUGCCCAGCUGAGAGAGCAGAGAGCCGUGCUGGAAACCUCCCGGGCUGAUGCUCACGAGUCCGGAGUAAGUAUACAGCAUGCUGUUAACAGUCCCACCACGUCUACUCCGUGUGUUUCUCUGCACAGGUCCAGUGCACCCAGGACGCAAUCUUCCCAGAUGUCCUUCACUUCAACGCCAAGACACCACGGACCCUGGGUGCAUCUACAGCGGAGGACGCGAGCCAGGCCCCAGGCGACGACUUCUCCCCCUCCGGUUCUCCCCCUCCGCAAGACGGGACGUAACGCUGUGAUCAUCGGAGUCUGUGCUACGUUAGCCGAAGGUAAAGUGCACACUCAUUGUUUCCCUUGUGUUCGUGUUCUCAGGUUCAGUAGACUUGUUGCUUUAAAUUAAUGGUUGUGGUCAUGGUGUAAAGAACAGAAACUGGUAUUUGUUAAUAACUGAAAUCUUUUCUGGGAGCAUCCUAGGCUUUUUCGCACUAAUGGCCUGCACCCCAGCUGACGACAUCUCCAGAACACUUCGCUCCAUAUGACUACUCCAGUCUGGAUCCAGAACACCUGAGAAGAGAUGAU